UGAAUACGAGAUGCUACGGCGUCGAAGCAGUCUAUGUCAUACUUCCAAGAAAAGCUUGCACUGUCAUAAACAAAUAAUGCCUGUACCAUAACCGACACAGGUGGGUAGGUAGAGUAUACUAAGGGGCGCGAGAUAACUCUCUCUAAGGAACUCGGCAAAAUGACUCCGUAACUUCGGGAGAAGGAGUGCCUUAUUUUAUAAGGUUGCAAUAACAAGAUCCAAGCAACUGUUUACCAAAAACACAGGUCUCCGCUAAGUCGUAAGACGAUGUAUGGGGGCUGACGCCUGCCCAGUGCCAGAAGGUUAAAGAAGUUGGUUAGCAUCCGCGAAGCUGAUAACUGAAGCCCUGGUGAACGGCGGCCGUAACGAUAACGGUCCUAAGGUAGCGAAAUUCCUUGUCGGGUAAGUUCCGACCCGCACGAAAGGCGUAAUGAUUUGGAUACUGUCUCAGAGAGGGGCUCGGUGAAAUAGACUUGUCUGUGAAGAUGCGGACUACCUGCACCAGGACAGAAAGACCCUAUGAAGCUUUACUGUAACUUGAAAUUGAAAUUGGACUUUACUUGCGCAGUAUAGGUGGGAGGCGUUGAGAACAUUCUUGCGGGAAUGUUGGAGCCAUCAGUGAGAUACCACUCUUGUAAUGUUAGAUUUCUAACUUUGUAUCAUUAUCUGGUCAAAGGACAGUUUCAGGCGGGCAGUUUGACUGGGGCGGUCGCCUCCCAAACGGUAACGGAGGCGCACAAAGGUUUCCUCUGAACGGGUAGAAAUCGCAUCUAGAGUGUAAAGGCAUAAAGAAGCUUGACUGUGAGACCUACAAGUCGAGCAGGGACGAAAGUCGGUCUUAGUGAUCUGACGGUGCUGAGUGGAAAGGCCGUCACUCAACGGAUAAAAGUUACUCUAAGGAUAACAGGCUGAUCUCCCCCAAGAGUUCACAUCGACGGGGAGGUUUGGCACCUCGAUGUCGGCUCAUCGCAUCCUGGGGCGGUAGUACGUCCCAAGGGUUGGGCUGUUCGCCCAUGAAAGCGGUACGCGAGCUGGGUUCAGAACGUCGUGAGACAGUUCGGUCCAUAUCCGGUGUAGGCGUUAGAAUAUUGAGAGGAGCCUUCUUUAGUACGAGAGGACCGAGAAGGACAUACCUCUGGUGUACCAGUUAUCGUGCCAACGGUAAACGCUGGGUAGCUAUGUAUGGAGUGGAUAACCGCUGAAAGCAUCUAAGUGGGAAGCCCACCUCAAGAUAAGUAUUCU
rnacentral:rRNA from 1 species